GACGUAGGGGCCGAGCGUUGUCCGGAGUUACUGGGCGUAAAGCGCGCGCAGGCGGCGCAUCUGGCCCGGCGUGAAAGCCCCCGGCUCAACCGGGGAGGGUCGUCGGGGACCGGUGCGCUUGAGGGCGGUAGGGGCUGGUGGAAUUCCCGGUGUAGUGGUGAAAUGCGUAGAGAUCGGGAGGAACACCCGUGGCGAAGGCGGCCAGCUGGGCCGACCCUGACGCUGAGGAGCGAAAGCGUGGGGAGCGAACAGG
rnacentral:rRNA from 1 species